rnacentral:rRNA from 1 species
AUUGAACGCUGGCGGCAGGCCUAACACAUGCAAGUCGAGCGGAUGAAGGGAGCUUGCUCCUGGAUUCAGCGGCGGACGGGUGAGUAAUGCCUAGGAAUCUGCCUGGUAGUGGGGGAUAACGUCCGGAAACGGGCGCUAAUACCGCAUACGUCCUGAGGGAGAAAGGGGGGGAGCUUCGGACCUCACGCUAUCAGAUGAGCCUAGGUCGGAUUAGCUAGUUGGUGGGGUAAAGGCCUACCAAGGCGACGAUCCGUAACUGGUCUGAGAGGAUGAUCAGUCACACUGGAACUGAGACACGGUCCAGACUCCUACGGGAGGCAGCAGUGGGGAAUAUUGGACAAAGGGCGAAAGCCUGAUCCAGCCAUGCCGCGUGUGUGAAGAAGGUCUUCGGAUUGUAAAGCACUUUAAGUUGGGAGGAAGGGCAGUAAGUUAAUACCUUGCUGUUUUGACGUUACCAACAGAAUAAGCACCGGCUAACUUCGUG